rnacentral:rRNA from 1 species
AGCGUAGGCGGACUUUUAAGUGAGAUGUGAAAUACCCGGGCUCAACCUGGGUGCUGCAUUUCAAACUGAAAGUCUAGAGUGCAGGAGAGGAGAGUGGAAUUCCUAGUGUAGCGGUGAAAUGCGUAGAGAUUAGGAAGAACACCAGUGGCGAAGGCGACUCUCUGGACUGUAACUGACGCUGAGGCUCGAAAGCGUGGGGAGCAAACA